rnacentral:rRNA from 1 species
GACGAACGCUGGCGGCGUGCUUCAUACAUGCAAGUCGAGCGGAAAGGCCCUUCGGGGUACUCGAGCGGCGAACGGGUGAGUAACACGUGGGUGACCUGCCUCUAGCUCUGGGAUAAGCCUGGGAAACUGGGUCUAAUACCGGAUAUGACUCCACGGCGCAUGUUGGUGGGGUGGAAAGCCUUGUGCGGCUAGAGAUGGGCCCGCGGCCUAUCAGCUUGUU